AGUGAACGCUGGCGGUAGGCCUAACACAUGCAAGUCGAACGGCAGCACAGUAAGAGCUUGCUCUUACGGGUGGCGAGUGGCGGACGGGUGAGGAAUACAUCGGAAUCUACUUUUUCGUGGGGGAUAACGUAGGGAAACUUACGCUAAUACCGCAUACGACCUACGGGUGAAAGCAGGGGAUCUUCGGACCUUGCGCGAUUGAAUGAGCCGAUGUCGGAUUAGCUAGUUGGCGGGGUAAAGGCCCACCAAGGCGACGAUCCGUAGCUGGUCUGAGAGGAUGAUCAGCCACACUGGAACUGAGACACGGUCCAGACUCCUACGGGAGGCAGCAGUGGGGAAUAUUGGACAAUGGGCGCAAGCAUGAUCCAGCCAUACCGCGUGGGUGAAGAAGGCCUUCGGGUUGUAAAGCCCUUUUGUUGGGAAAGAAAAGCAGCAGGUUAAUACCCCGCUGUUCUGACGGUACCAAAAGAAUAAGCACCGGCUAACUUCGUG
rnacentral:rRNA from 1 species